UACGAAGGGGGCUAGCGUUGCUCGGAAUUACUGGGCGUAAAGCGCACGUAGGCGGAUUGUUAAGUCGGGGGUGAAAUCCUGGAGCUCAACUCCAGAACUGCCUUCGAUACUGGCGAUCUCGAGUUCGGGAGAGGUGAGUGGAACUGCGAGUGUAGAGGUGAAAUUCGUAGAUAUUCGCAAGAACACCGGUGGCGUAGGCGGCGACCUGGUCCUUUACUGACGCUGAGGCGCGAAAGCGUGGGGAGCAAACAGG
rnacentral:rRNA from 1 species